UGGGGAAUAUUGCACAAUGGGGGAAACCCUGAUGCAGCGACGCCGCGUGAGCGAAGAAGGCUUUCGAGUCGUAAAGCUCUGUCCUAUGAGAAGAUAAUGACGGUAUCAUAGGAGGAAGCCCUGGCUAAGUACGUGCCAGCAGCCGCGGUAAUACGUAUGGGGCGAGCGUUGUCCGGAAUUAUUGGGCGUAAAGGGUACGUAGGCGGUUUUUUAAGUCAGGUGUGAAAGCGUGAGGCUUAACCUCAUUAAGCACUUGAAACUGAUAGACUUGAGUGAAGGAGAGGAAAGUGGAAUUCCUAGUGUAGCGGUGAAAUGCGUAGAUAUUAGGAGGAAUACCGGUGGCGAAGGCGACUUUCUGGACUUUUACUGACGCUCAGGUACGAAAGCGUGGGGAGCAAACAGG
rnacentral:rRNA from 1 species